CACACUUCAUCAAGAUUUGCAAU
rnacentral:miRNA from 1 species